rfam:Tritrichomonas foetus strain K scaffold_304, whole genome shotgun sequence.
GCCCUUGUAGUGUAAUGGAUAGCAUCUAAGACUACGAAUCUUAUGGUAUGGGUUCGAUCCCCAUCAAGGGUA